UAUAUCAGUCAGCAUCAUGAGAAAUACUUAUUUUAAUAUUUUUCCUAUUUAAAUAGGUUAAAAUAAUUUUUUGUCUAUUUUAUAUCUCAAAAAUCAGAAAGAGUGAGGCAACUAGAUCAUUUCAAACCAAACAGAUUAUAACUGCUGAUCUAAUGUAGAUCAUUAGUGGCUAAAUUACAUUGGUCUGUGGCUAAAAUCACUGCAGGUGUUCUACUUAACAAAGUGUUCGUGACCAUGAAACAUUGGGGUUAUGAGGGUUUGUUAGUACAGGAGGAGAAAAGCGUGAAUGCUAAGUUGUGUUACAUCAAAGAAAGACAUUGAGGAUUGCCCUUUCUUCUCAUUAACUGCAGUCUUUGUUACUGUCAGCAGCUGCUGACCUGAAUCAAAGUGUAGUUGCUGAUGUAUAUGUGGAAAGUUCUAUAAAUUGCUAGUAAAUCGCACACACUCAACACAUCUAUUUUAUAGAUACUGCAGGCAACACAGGCGGAGUGGUUUAGUGAGUUUUCAAAAGCCAUACAGAGAACUAGUGGUAAACUCAGGGUUAAAACCUAUGCUUCCUGAUUCCAAAUUCUCUGGGAGGGGUUGAGGAAGAAGAAUAAACCAUAAACUCACCCUAACUAAAAAACAAACAAACAACAAUUUCAUAUGUAGGUCUUACCAGCUGAGCACUCAACAAUAACAAUUCUAGGGAUGUCAGUAAUUUAAAACAUAAUUUCUUUAACAGAGUGUUUUAGAAUUAUUUUCUUAAUUUAUUCCUAUGUAACAUGAAUUGGGCAAUCUCACUUUUAGGAGGAAAAAUGAUUUCAUAAUAUCACAUAUCUGGAGUCAGUUUCCAGUUAAUGUAGUCAGCUGCAUAGAAACCUGAUGCUGACUUUUUGGGGUUGGGGGAGGGAGUAAUUGCAUACUGACAUUUCAUGCGCAUUAUCUGCCUGGGCUCUUUAGGUCCUUGGCACAGAACUCCAUUAUUACCUGAUCAGUAGAUAAGUAACAAAAUAGAUUAGCAUGUCUGUGGAUUACCAGUAAACAGAGAGGGUGAAGCCUGACAGUUUGCCUAAUGAUUAUUUACCAUAUAGCAGAGAAAUGUCAAAACUUUGGAGUCAUGAUUUAAAUACUUCAUCUUUUAAAUGCACUUUGGCCCCUGUCCUCCUCCCCAGUAUUUCCUUCUGUUUCUCUUGUGUAUAUUUGUUCUUUUUUCAGUGUUCACCUGUAUGCCUUACCAAGCUUUUGUGUUCCUCUUUGGUCUGUAACAUCCCAUUGCUGCACCUCUGUCCUCACCAUCCUACCUGCUGAGUCUCUGUUUGUGUUCCUCAUCUGCCUUUUUUGCUCUUGGCGAUUUGUCAGAGCCAAAUGCAAGUAGGAUCUUCAAAGAUGUUAGCUACACAAUUGUAACACACUUCACAUAUGUCACAGAUACAUUUAGCUAUGAUUUUUCUGAGGCUCAUAGCUUGGCCAAGUAUGGAUGCCUUUCUAUGGAACUUAAACCAAGUCUAAGUCUGACUUCGGCAUGAUCAUUCUUCUAAUUUUGAAGUUCUUGUUUCAAGGGAUGUAGACAACUGAAUAUUUAAAUGAAAUAACAAGGAGGGUAUAUAGGCAGUUAUCAAGCUGUUAUACCCCUGCUUCAUUCUUGAAAUUCACGAAAAAUUUUUUACCUGAAACACUGACUUUCUUUUUUUAAUCUUAGUCUCAGGAUGAUACUCAUCCCAGGAAAGAUCAGUCCACACAGUUAAGCUGGCAGUGAAAUUGGAAAUAGUCUUCUAAUGGGAAGAAUUAGGCAAUCUUAACAGCAGGUGUCAGUGUGAACUCUGCCAAUAUAAUUAAGAAUGAAAACAAUCUUGUUAAGGAGUUUCAACACCGUCAUGUGAUUUUGUAAGUUGUGUAUUUUAGAAGCUGUGUUAUUAGAAAGUACUUUACAAAGAUUGUUGUUUCAGAUGUUCAGUGUAUAUCAACAAGUUAAAAUAUCAUGAUCUUAUAUUCUGUCUUGUCAGCCAUUUUCACUAGCAGCAGCACUAUAUUGAGAAGUUUGAAAUCACAUCUCUGAAAGCAGCAACCAUGUAUGUAAAUGUGACACAUCUGAGAAAUAAGUAAUAUUUGCAUUAUAGAAGAAUAUGCUAAAUAAAUGAUAAGGUUGAUGGAAAAGACAGGCUAAACUCUGAAAAGACAGAAUAAAACUCUUAAGAGAUUUGAAGAACUGUAUAGCCAAUGAAAAAAUCUAGUGUAGAAAGUCACUGAAGCAUGUAGUAAUAAAAAUCAAUUGUCCGAAGAGCUGGCUGAACAAGCUGUAAGAAGUUAAUGAAAUGAAUGAAAUUAGAAACACCUGGUAACUAGUAAAAUAGGUUUUUUUUUUUUUUUUUUUUUUUCCUUUUCCCAGCAAGGAAGAAAUGAACACUUACUCUUAACUUGAAAUCCAUUUAGGUCUUUCCUCUUCACUUCUGCUUUUAGCUAAUACCUUCAGCCAGCUAUUUUUGGGCCAGGUGUGAAAAGAUAUUUUCUGUUAUUGCAGAUCUCAGGAGUGCCUACCUAUAUUUUAUCUCAGUUACAGGUAUUCCAGCCAUUACACUGUCAAGAUAUUUACUCUUCAUUUUUCUGAGAAGAGAGACCUAGGAAUUUUUGUCAAGGUGGUUAUUUUAAAAUCUGCCUUACAUAAAAGCUAUGGGGAAUUGCAGCUUAGGCAGCCGCAGGUUUAUUCUGUGUUAGAUUGGAUAUGAGAUAAAAAUCUUAGUGAAGUGAGAAAACAUACAGAAGGAAAAUUUAAAAGUUCUGAUAUAUAUAUCUCUCUCUAUAUAUAGAUAGAUAGAUACACACACACACACAUACAUGUAUAUGUAUGUAGAGGAACAAAGCUGGAAGGCAACCAGAUUUUCCCAGCUGAGAAUUCCCCUGGCACUAGGGGACUCAGCUGGCAUUCAGCCUGUUUAGCUGGCUCCUGCCCCAUUCCCCUCCUGUGCAAGGAGAGCUGCAAGUACAUUGCCCUUCAGCUAUACUCAGCUGGUGUACAUAAAGAAGCUUUCACUAGGAUUUAGGACAAUGUAAAUCUGUCCUGAGGAUUAAUGAUCUAUAACUUCCUCUAUCUUUCUUCCCAGUCUACACCACCCAAUACGUUUUAUCUUUUUGGCGUGUGGAUCACAUCGUGUGUUACCUGAGUGACUCCAAAGUAUUAAUGUAUUAUCUUCCUAAGCCCUGUAAGGUAGAAGAGCUCUGCUGCUCCCCUUAUUACAUAUGCAUGGGGAAUUAAGGCAGUGCUUUGUUUUUACUGUCUUUGAAAUCUGUGUUUGAAUUCAAAGAACCAAAUGGCUUGAGCUAUGGCUGUAUGGCCUGGAGGAGCAGGAGCUCGAGUAUGAGCCAGUCUUGCUGUCUGCCUCAGAUUCUUAUUUUGGAGAGGCACCUUGCUUUUUCCAGAUGAGAAUCAAAGUGAGAGUCAAUGUGCAGGCAAUAUAGUCCCCAGAGUGUUUGGACUCUGGCCCCAGGUAACAUGACAGUGUAGAUAUAGCAGAGAUGCAUCAGCCAGAGCUGUUAUAGUGAUCAAGUGUCCAUAGUUUCAGCCCAGAACAGCCAAGUUUUGUGAAACUGGGACUCAAGAGUGGAAUUCAAAACUCAAUAUGGAGGAUAGACAAAGUCAGGGUAAUCCAAAAAAAUUCAUGUAAUGAGCCACUUUAAAUUAUCCAAAAGCUACUGGUGAUUCAGAGGUACAUCUGAAAAUUCAUUCUCUUUGGGACUUAAAGUACCUAACUCAAGACUGCAAGGUAAGAAUUUAAUCUCUUUCUCUGAGAGUAAGUACCUACAAGUAAUCUAUGAAGGGAGCAAGUAAACUUUGGUUGUACUGUUCCUUUGAUAUGAUAUCCUAAUUGGUUACAGCAUUUGACUGGGAAAUGGAGACAUUGGCACUUCCAUUUUUUCUCUCUUUUCAGGUGGAAGAAUUUAAAAUCCACAUCUCCCAUGAAGCUGCCUUAACCAUUAGGGUACUGGAUAGUCUGAUAUGGGGCAUGAUCUUAUUGCAGCAGGACCUCUGUGCAGAAAAGCAGGUUAAAUAUGCUGUACUGGAAGCAGGGAGGAAGCCUGAUCCUGAGCCAUGCGGUUACGGCGUUACGGAUCAGACUGCAAGCAGUUUGGCUGAAACAAGAAUGCUGGAUACUGACAUCUCCCACUUGUUACAUCUAACCGCAGCCUAACUUCUACGUGGGAUUAAUCAAGAUACAGAAAAAACAAGCGGCACUUUAAGCUGGUUCUGACUUUAAAGCUGUCUUUAAAUGAGCUUAGUUUGGGGCACUGGAUAGCAUGUUAUCAAUAGCUGUCAUUAUCAAUACCUGUAGCUAAAAGUGUGAUUUGGUUAUAUAAUGAUCCUAGGCUGGCAGAGAAUCCUAGAAAACAGACAGUUUUGAAAGACCUUUGGGUUCUGCAAAACAUUGCUUAGUUUCUUACAUAAUUAACUGUGCUCAUUAUGUAGAAAUUCAGUGAAAUUAUCAUAACUCUGUUCAGGAUCAGCUUGAUAGAGAGAAACUGAGAUCAUGAUUAGGUGUGAACAGAGACUGCCUAUUUGAAUUAUCUUAAUUCGUUAAUUAUCGUAGUUUUAAAUCUCAUAGUUCCUGCUUCCUAUUAUUCACUAAAUUUGUUUACUGUAUCCUUUGUUAAGUUAUUUAGAAAGGGAUAGUCUCUCAUAAAUUUUAAAACUGAUUUGUACAGCACCUAACACAGGAAAAACAACUCCAUCUCUUAAAUCCGUUUGUUCAGGAACAAAUAGGUUCAUCAGUUCAGCAUAAUCAAAAUGAUACUUGGAAGGGUCUUUCAUUUCCAUCAGCUGAUUAAUCUUUACCUUUAAUUUCACUCUCCUAAUUUGGAUAACCCUUUGGUUGCAAAUUUUCUCUUAAAGUAUGAGACGAGAAGGUUUUUUUUAACCCAAUCAAAUAUUCUUGAGGGGAAAAAAAAAACAAACCCAGUGCAUAGAAGGCAGUUCAAAGCUCUAAGCCAGAAUAAAAUGGUUCCAUUUUUCCCCUAGUUAUUUAGUCAUUCAGAUGUCUUUUUCUGAAUUCCUCAUUACUUACAGAACUAAUCUAAAUCCACUGAGUCCCCAAAAGACCAGACAGAAGCUUCUGUCAUAGCCCUAAUGCUCCUCAUGAGUUGCUUUGUAUUUUUAUGUAAGUUUUUGCAAAUUAUGAUGAUAAAAGAGAAAAGCCCUAAAAGGAUCAUUCCGAGGCUCCUGUUGUCAGCAUAUUAUAAGUUAUUGUCAUAUCUUUCUGUGAUGAAAUUAUGCUUACAUAUUACAAAGACUAGGACAUACAGAAAAUUGUCACAUAAGACUGUGGUAAGACAACAUAAAGUCACAAGAGGAAGAAAAUGGCAGCUUAUAGUACAGCAUAGUCUUAACAGGCCUUUUGGCAUCCAGCUAAUGUGAUAGGUGUGGAACAUAGGAUCAGAUGGUGUCACUGUGCAAUGUUAUAUCUAGUAAUAACCAAAAAAUAGGGGGUAAAGAUGGAUCAAUACAACAUUUUAAAAAAUCCGGAGAAAGUGAUUUUAUAGAAGAAAACUGAAGCUAAAUAAGCAAACAAUUAAAAAACUACAUAUUCUUCAGCUGUUAUCCCGCCAUCAACUACAAAAUGUGUCUAAAAAUCUUCCUUGUACUCCUUUAUUCUGUUCCAGUUUUAUCUAGAUCUGAAUUAUCGCUGAACUGCCUGUUCUGAAAUUAAAGUCCGUAAGCAUGGGUUGGGACAAUGUGGUUGCAUCUUACAGAAUGACCCAGCUUCAGGAGGGAAAGAGCGGAAGACUAAUACCAAUACCAGGAAGGUGGUGGUCUACCAGAUCUGCAUGGGUGAAGUUUCCUCUUUAAGGAAAAUUGACAGGCCUAUCACAAGAGCAGGUCUAGAAAAAAGAAAACUGUGCUCCAAAAGCAAAAAGGUGUGGUCGUGUUAUUGAAUUUUAAGCAGUGCCCUGAAAAAACUGGAUUGUGAUUCACUUUUUAAUAAAAUUCAAACAGUGAACCUUCAGGGUUUAAAAUCUCCAUAUAAAUCUCAUAUGUCACAUCCCACUUCUGGAACCUCAUGACAAAAAAUCUAUUUUAUUAUGCUGUAAAAUGUGCAAAUAUUACUGUGAUGGUAGUUCCAUAAAAGCUUGGAAGGUAAAUUUUUCGGUUUUGCAUAUAAUGAACAAAUUUAUUGCCUUUGGUAGGAGUGGCUAGCCAAUAUUUAGAGCUUUUCUUGCAUUAAGAAGAGAAAUGGAGAAUAGUCCAACAGUGGCAAUCCUGAUAAUUUAAAAGAAUGUACACAACAUCCUGUUUUCUGGAAAAUAGUAAAUUGUAGAAAAAAUCAAGAUGAGGCAGCUUGUUUGGUCAGAAAUCAAAAUCUGCCUGGGCUUUCUGGAAUUUUGCUCCAAAAAAACCCUUAUAUGGCUUGAUCACAUAGACAUUCCUUUACCUGCUCCUCUCAGGGAAUAUAUACACCUGUAAUAAGUCUCCUAACACCCAGGAGACCUUCUCCACAUUUCCCAUCUUGAGCUGCAACGUAGUUAGUUAAUUAGUUAGUUAAC